rnacentral:rRNA from 1 species
GAGUUUGAUCGUGGCUCAGGAUGAACGCUGGCGGCGUGCCUAAUACAUGCAAGUCGAACGAACAGAUAAGGAGCUUGCUCCUUUGACGUUAGCGGCGGACGGGUGAGUAACACGUGGGUAACCUACCUAUAAGACUGGAAUAACUCCGGGAAACCGGGGCUAAUGCCGGAUAACAUGUUGAACCGCAUGGUUCUACAGUGAAAGACGGUCUUGCUGUCACUUAUAGAUGGACCCGCGCCGUAUUAGCUAGUUGGUGGGGUAACGGCCUACCAAGGCGACGAUACGUAGCCGACCUGAGAGGGUGAUCGGCCACACUGGAACUGAGACACGGUCCAGACUCCUACGGGAGGCAGCAGUAGGGAAUCUUCCGCAAUGGGCGAAAGCCUGACGGAGCAACGCCGCGUGAGUGAUGAAGGUCUUCGGAUCGUAAAGCUCUGUUGUUAGGGAAGACAAAUGUGUAAGUAACUGUGCAUAUCUUGACGGUACCUAACCAGAAAGCCACGGCUAACUACGUGCCAGCAGCCGCGGUAACG